rnacentral:rRNA from 1 species
CAGUAGCCGCGGGAAUACGUAGGGUGCAAGCGUUAAUCGGAAUUACUGGGCGUAAAGCGUGCGCAGGCGGUUAUAUAAGACAGAUGUGAAAUCCCCGGGCUCAACCUGGGAACUGCAUUUGUGACUGUAUAGCUAGAGUACGGCAGAGGGGGAUGGAAUUCCGCGUGUAGCAGUGAAAUGCGUAGAUAUGCGGAGGAACACCGAUGGCGAAGUCAAUCCCCUGGGCCUGUACUGACGCUCAUGCACGAAAGCGUGGGGAGCAAACAGGAUUAGAUACCCCCGUAGUCCCUGUCUCUUAUAC